GCCGGAGUGGCGAAAUCGGUAUACGCACCAGACUCAAAAUCUGGCGGGAGCAAUCCCAUGUCGGUUCGAGUCCGACCUCCGGCACCA
rnacentral:tRNA from 1 species